UACGGAGGGUGCGAGCGUUGUCCGGAAUCACUGGGCGUAAAGGGCGCGUAGGCGGCCUGGUAAGUAGGGGGUGAAAUCCUGCGGCUUAACCGCAGGGCUGCCUUCUAAACUGUCAGGCUUGAGCACGGUAGAGGCAGAUGGAAUUCCCGGUGUAGCGGUGGAAUGCGUAGAGAUCGGGAAGAACAUCAGUGGCGAAGGCGGUCUGCUGGGCCGUUGCUGACGCUGAGGCGCGACAGUGUGGGGAGCAAACAGG
rnacentral:rRNA from 1 species